rnacentral:rRNA from 1 species
AUUGAACGCUGGCGGCAGGCUUAACACAUGCAAGUCGAGCGAGCGGCGGACGGGUGGUUAAUGUCUGGGAAACGGCGUGGUGGAGGAGGAUAACUACUGGAAACGGUAGCUAAUACCGCAUACCAUCAGAUGUGCCCAGAUGGGAUGAGCUAGUGGGUGGGGUAACGGCUCACCUAGGCGACGAUCCCUAGCUGGUCUGAGAGGACGACCAGCCACACUGGAACUGAGACACGGCCCAGACUCCUACGGGAGGCAGCAGUGGGGAAUAUUGCACAAUGGGCGAAAGCCUGAUGCAGCCAUGCCGCGUGUGUGAAGAAGGCCUUCGGGUUGUAAAGCACUUUUAGCGGGGAGGCGUUACCCGCAGAAUAAGCACCGGCUAACUCCGUGCCAGCAGCCGCGGUAAUAC